UAAAAGGCGGUUGAAUCUAGACGAAACUCAGUCUUUGCAGUCUCGAAAAGGAAGCAUCAGUCAAAGAGGUUCAGGAAAAGUUGGAAGAUUCUGAACGAACUACGGCGCCGAAAAAUGGGGAAGGAGAAACGUAAAGGCUUGCUCGCAGCGAAUAAUAGAUGAUGAAGGAUCGUCGCAGGAUCAGGAGGAUCAUCGCAGCAUCAGAUGUUCAAGAAUCGUCGCAGGAUCAGAUGGUAUGGUAUGGUAUGGUAUGG